AUGUUGAGGCAGUGCUGGCCGAAGAGGAUGCUAGCACUGAUGCUCUUUGUGUUGCUGAUGGUGUGGAAGGAGUGCUACUCCCUGACCUCCUCUCCUUCUGUGGUGAAGAGACCUGGAGUGACAGUCACUCUGUCCUGUACUGUCUCCGGAUUCUCAAUGAGCAGCUACUACAUGCACUGGAUCCGUCAGAAACCAGGACAAGGACUGGAGUGGAUCGGAUACAUUAGCACAGGCUCUAGCACUUAUUUUGCUCAGUCUCUGCAGGGCCAGUUCUCCAUCACUAAAGACAACAAUAAAAACAUGCUGAACCUAAAAGUGAACAUUCUGAAAGCUGAAGACACGGCUGUUUAUUACUGUGCGCGAGAGACACACUGA